UUCUGUUAAGGAUAGUAACGAAAAGCCCGUAAAGCUAGCCGUUCUUUUUACAAAACACCCCCCAAAAGAGCGACCAACGGAAGCUCCUUUUGGGGGUUGUUUUGUGAACGGCUUGCUGCGGACUUGUAGUGGAUAGCCUGCCCGAAC
rnacentral:misc_RNA from 1 species